AGAGUUUGAUCCUGGCUCAGGAUGAACGCUGGCGGCGUGCUUAACACAUGCAAGUCGAACGAACCUUCGGGUGAGUGGCGGACGGGUGAGUAACGCGUGGGAAUCUGCCCUCAGGAGGGGGAUAACGACUGGAAACGGUCGCUAAUACCCCAUAUGCCGAGAGGUGAAAUGAGUUUCGCCUGAGGAUGAGCCCGCGUCUGAUUAGCUAGUUGGUGUGGUAAGAGCUCACCAAGGCGACGAUCAGUAGCUGGUCUGAGAGGAUGAUCAGCCACACUGGGACUGAGACACGGCCCAGACUCCUACGGGAGGCAGCAGUGGGGAAUUUUCCGCAAUGGGCGAAAGCCUGACGGAGCAACGCCGCGUGAGGGAUGAAGGCCUCUGGGCUGUAAACCUCUUUUCUCAAGGAAGAAGAUCUGACGGUACUUGAGGAAUAAGCCACGGCUAAUUCCGUGCCAGCAGCCGCGGUAAUACGGGAGUGGCAAGCGUUAUCCGGAAUCAUUGGGCGUAAAGCGUCCGCAGGUGGCUUUGUAAGUCUGCUGUUAAAGCGUGGAGCUUAACUCCAUUUCAGCGGUGGAAACUACAAAGCUUGAGUGUGGUAGGGGCAGAGGGAAUUCCCGGUGUAACGGUGAAAUGCGUAGAUAUCGGGAAGAACACCAGUGGCGAAGGCGCUCUGCUGGGCCAUAACUGACACUCAUGGACGAAAGCCAGGGGAGCGAAAGGGAUUAGAUACCCCUGUAGUCCUGGCCGUAAACGAUGAACACUAGGCGUCGGGGGAAUCGACCCCCUCGGUGUCGUAGCCAACGCGUUAAGUGUUCCGCCUGGGGAGUACGCACGCAAGUGUGAAACUCAAAGGAAUUGACGGGGGCCCGCACAAGCGGUGGAGUAUGUGGUUUAAUUCGAUGCAACGCGAAGAACCUUACCAGGGUUUGACAUCCUGCGAACCCCUGAGAAAUCGGGGGGUGCCUUCGGGAACGCAGUGACAGGUGGUGCAUGGCUGUCGUCAGCUCGUGUCGUGAGAUGUUGGGUUAAGUCCCGCAACGAGCGCAACCCACGUCUUUAGUUGCCAGCAUUCAGUUGGGCACUCUAGAGAGACCGCCGGUGAUAAACCGGAGGAAGGUGUGGAUGACGUCAAGUCAUCAUGCCCCUUACAUCCUGGGCUACACACGUACUACAAUGCUACGGACAAGGGGCAGCAAACUCGCGAGAGCAAACAAAUCCCAUAAACCGUGGCUCAGUUCAGAUCGUAGGCUGCAACUCGCCUACGUGAAGGAGGAAUCGCUAGUAAUCGCAGGUCAGCAUACUGCGGUGAAUACGUUCCCGGGCCUUGUACC
rnacentral:rRNA from 1 species